UACGGGGGGGGCAAGCGUUGUUCGGAAUUACUGGGCGUAAAGGGCUCGUAGGUGGCCAACUAAGUCAGACGUGAAAUCCCUCGGCUUAACCGGGGAACUGCGUCUGAUACUGGAUGGCUUGAGUUUGGGAGAGGGAUGCGGAAUUCCAGGUGUAGCGGUGAAAUGCGUAGAUAUCUGGAGGAACACCAAUUGCGAAGGCAGCUCGCUGGGACGUCACUGACGCUGAGACGCGAAAGCGUGGGGAGCAAACAGG
rnacentral:rRNA from 1 species